GAUGUUCUAACGUGGACCCGUGAUCCGGGUUGCGGACAGUGUCUGGUGGGUAGUUUGACUGGGGCGGUCUCCUCCUAAAGAGUAACGGAGGAGCACGAAGGUUGGCUAAUCCUGGUCGGACAUCAGGAGGUUAGUGCAAUGGCAUAAGCCAGCUUGACUGCGAGCGUGACGGCGCGAGCAGGUGCGAAAGCAGGUCAUAGUGAUCCGGUGGUUCUGAAUGGAAGGGCCAUCGCUCAACGGAUAAAAGGUACUCCGGGGAUAACAGGCUGAUACCGCCCAAGAGUUCAUAUCGACGGCGGUGUUUGGCACCUCGAUGUCGGCUCAUCACAUCCUGGGGCUGAAGUAGGUCCCAAGGGUAUGGCUGUUCGCCAUUUAAAGUGGUACGCGAGCUGGGUUUAGAACGUCGUGAGACAGUUCGGUCCCUAUCUGCCGUGGGCGCUGGAGAACUGAGGGGGGCUGCUCCUAGUACGAGAGGACCGGAGUGGACGCAUCACUGGUGUUCGGG
rnacentral:rRNA from 1 species